rnacentral:rRNA from 4 species
UAUUUUGUGGGUUUCCUGAACUGGGGCUAUGAUUAAGAGGGACGGCCGGGGGCAUUCGAAUUGUCCGCUAGAGGUGAGAUUCUUGGACCGGUGC